rnacentral:rRNA from 1 species
CCUACGGGUGACAGCAGUGAGGAAUAUUGGUCAAUGGCCGAGAGGCUGAACCAGCCAAGUCGCGUGAGGGAAGACGGCCCUACGGGUUGUAAACCUCUUUUGUCGGGGAGCAAAGCGAGUCACGUGUGACUCAUUGAGAGUACCCGAAGAAAAAGCAUCGGCUAACUCCGUGCCAGCAGCCGCGGUAAUACGGAGGAUGCGAGCGUUAUCCGGAUUUAUUGGGUUUAAAGGGUGCGCAGGCGGAGGUGCAAGUCAGCGGUCAAAUUGCGGGGCUCAACCCCGUACUGCCGUUGAAACUGCAUCCCGUGAGGGCGGGAGAAGUAAGCGGAAUGGGUGGGGUAGCGGUGAAAUGCAUAGAUAACACGCAGAACUCCGAUUGCGAAGGCAGCAUACCGGCGCGCAACUGACGCUCAUGCACGAAAGCGUGGGUAUCGAACAGGAUUAGAUACCCCUGUAGUC